rnacentral:rRNA from 2 species
AUAUCAAUAAGCGGAGGAAAAGAAACCAACAGGGAUUGCCUCAGUAACGGCGAGUGAAGCGGCAAAAGCUCAAAUUUGAAAUCUAGCACCUUCGGUGUUCGAGUUGUAAUUUGAAGAUGGUAACCUUGGGUUUGGCUCUUGUCUAUGUUCCUUGGAACAGGACGUCAUAGAGGGUGAGAAUCCCGUCUGAUGAGAUGCCCAUUCCUAUGUAAGGUGCUAUCGAAGAGUCGAGUUGUUUGGGAAUGCAGCUCUAAGUGGGUGGUAAAUUCCAUCUAAAGCUAAAUAUUGGCGAGAGACCGAUAGCGAACAAGUACAGUGAUGGAAAGAUGAAAAGAACUUUGAAAAGAGAGUGAAAAAGUACGUGAAAUUGUUGAAAGGGAAGGGCAUUAGAUCAGACUUGGUGUUUUACGAUUAUCUUCUCUUCUUGAGUUGUGCACUCGUAUUUCACUGGGCCAGCAUCGAUUCGGAUGGCAAGAUAAUGGCAGUUGAAUGUGGCUUCACUUCGGUGGAGUGUUAUAGCUUCUGCUGAUAUUGCCUGUCUGGAUCGAGGGCUGCGUCUUUUGACUAGGAUGCUGGCGUAAU